rnacentral:rRNA from 1 species
AGAAUGAACGUUGGCGGCGUGGAUUAGGCAUGCAAGUCGCACGGGCCGCAAGGCCAGUGGCGCAAGGGUGAGUAAGGCGACGGCAACCAACCCCGUGAUCGAGUAUAGCCGCGGGAAACCGCGGGUAACCCUCGGCGACGUCGAAGAGAGGCAUCUCUUUUCGACCAAAGCUCCGGCGUCGCGGGACGGCCGUCGUGCUAUUAGCUGGUUGGCGGGUAACGGCCCACAGGC